rnacentral:rRNA from 1 species
UACGGAGGGUGCGAGCGUUGUCCGGAAUCACUGGGCGUAAAGGGCGCGUAGGCGGCCUGAUAAGUAGGGGGUGAAAUCCUGCGGCUUAACCGCAGGGCUGCCUUCUAAACUGUCAGGCUCGAGCACAGUAGAGGCAGGUGGAAUUCCCGGUGUAGCGGUGGAAUGCGUAGAGAUCGGGAAGAACAUCAGUGGCGAAGGCGGCCUGCUGGGCUGUUGCUGACGCUGAGGCGCGAGCAGCGU